UGUGAAGAAAGGGAAGGGUGAGGCCGGGCCUGAGGCCUCUGAAGCCCUCUCCACUGAGGUUGAAGGAUCCCUGUGGAUCAGGUGCAAGUUUGCUGCACUGGGGGAAAGGGAAGCUGCUCCAGAAACCAGUAGCUGCUUUCUACCUCUGGGCUCUGGGGCAUUAACAUAUCCCAUUGUGUUCUGUUUCCAGGAGCCUGACUACGGGGCCCUGUAUGAGGGACGCAACCCUGGCUUCUAUGUAGAGGCAAACCCUAUGCCAACUUUCAAGUGUGCGGUCAAAGCCCUCUUUGACUACAAGGCCCAGAGGGAGGACGAGCUGACCUUCACCAAGAGCGCCAUCAUCCAGAAUGUGGAGAAGCAAGAGGGAGGCUGGUGGCGAGGGGACUACGGAGGGAAGAAGCAGCUGUGGUUCCCAUCAAACUAUGUGGAAGAGAUGGUCAACCCCGUGGCCCUGGAGCCGGAGAGGGAGCACUUGGACGAGAACAGCCCCCUAGGGGACUUGCUGCGGGGCGUCUUGGAUGUGCCGGCUUGUCAGAUUGCCAUCCGUCCUGAGGGCAAGAACAACCGGCUCUUCGUCUUCUCCAUCAGCAUGGCGUCGGUGGCCCACUGGUCCCUGGAUGUUGCUGCCGACUCACAGGAGGAGCUGCAGGACUGGGUGAAAAAGAUCCGUGAAGUGGCCCAGACCGCAGAUGCCAGGGUGAGAUUCUGCUGGAGCCUGCUGGGGGGCAGUGUGUGGGCCUGUCAGGCGGCUGAGGCCUCCAGCUCCCAGCACAAGACCCCUCAGAGCAGUGGGGCAGCCGAUGGCCUAUGCUAGAUAGGCCACAGCCCCUGCCUUAGCUAGGGAUUGAGAAGAAACAGACACAUAAGAUGCAAUGUGGUGUGUUUAGGUUGUGUUGAGUUUGAGAUACUGAUGGGUCGUUGAAGUGGGUCUGCUUAGUGGGCAGUUGGAUACACAAGACCAGAGCUAAGAGGAGAAGUCCUGGGCUGGAAGCAGGAGUGGAGUGGGGGCUGAGGCUUAGAAGGGAUGAGGUGGUGUCGAAUAGGAA
rnacentral:sRNA from 1 species